rnacentral:rRNA from 1 species
UACGGAGGGGGCUAGCGUUGUUCGGAAUUACUGGGCGUAAAGCGCACGUAGGCGGCUUUGUAAGUCCGCUCUGAAAGUCCAGGGCUCAACCCUGGAAAGCGGGUGGAUACUGCCGGGCUAGAAUCCGGAAGAGGCGAGUGGAAUUCCUGGUGUAGCGGUGGAAUGCGCAGAUAUCAGGAGGAACACCGGUGGCGAAGGCGGGUCUCUGGGCAACAACUGACGCUGAGGAGCGAAAGCGUGGGGGAGCGAACAGG